CAUGCAGCUGCUACCAUGCAGUCGAGCGGUAGCACAGAGAGCUUGCUCUCGGGUGACGAGCGGCGGACGGGUGAGUAAUGUCUGGGAAACUGCCUGAUGGAGGGGGAUAACUACUGGAAACGGUAGCUAAUACCGCAUAACGUCGCAAGACCAAAGUGGGGGACCUUCGGGCCUCAUGCCAUCAGAUGUGCCCAGAUGGGAUUAGCUAGUAGGUGGGGUAACGGCUCACCUAGGCGACGAUCCCUAGCUGGUCUGAGAGGAUGACCAGCCACACUGGAACUGAGACACGGUCCAGACUCCUACGGGAGGCAGCAGUGGGGAAUAUUGCACAAUGGGCGCAAGCCUGAUGCAGCCAUGCCGCGUGUAUGAAGAAGGCCUUCGGGUUGUAAAGUACUUUCAGCGGGGAGGAAGGCGAUAAGGUUAAUAACCUUGUCGAUUGACGUUACCCGCAGAAGAAGCACCGGCUAACUCCGUGCCAGCAGCCGCGGUAAUACGGAGGGUGCAAGCGUUAAUCGGAAUUACUGGGCGUAAAGCGCACGCAGGCGGUCUGUCAAGUCGGAUGUGAAAUCCCCGGGCUCAACCUGGGAACUGCAUUCGAAACUGGCAGGCUAGAGUCUUGUAGAGGGGGGUAGAAUUCCAGGUGUAGCGGUGAAAUGCGUAGAGAUCUGGAGGAAUACCGGUGGCGAAGGCGGCCCCCUGGACAAAGACUGACGCUCAGGUGCGAAAGCGUGGGGAGCAAACAGGAUUAGAUACCCUGGUAGUCCACGCCGUAAACGAUGUCGAUUUGGAGGUUGUGCCCUUGAGGCGUGGCUUCCGGAGCUAACGCGUUAAAUCGACCGCCUGGGGAGUACGGCCGCAAGGUUAAAACUCAAAUGAAUUGACGGGGGCCCGCACAAGCGGUGGAGCAUGUGGUUUAAUUCGAUGCAACGCGAAGAACCUUACCUGGUCUUGACAUCCACAGAACUUGCCAGAGAUGGCCUUGGUGCCUUCGGGAACUGUGAGACAGUGCUGCAUGGCUGUCGUCAGCUCGUGUUGUGAAAUGUUGGGUUAAGUCCCGCAACGAGCGCAACCCUUAUCCUUUGUUGCCAGCGGUUCGGCGGGCACUCAAGGAGACUGCAGUGAUAAACUGGAGGAAAGGUGGGGAAUGACGUCAAGUUCAUCAUGGUCCUUACGA
rnacentral:rRNA from 1 species